ACGCGCAUGAAUGGAUCAAUGAGAUUCCCACUGUCCCUAUCUGCUACCUAGCGAACACACGAGCCAAGGGAACAGGCUUGGAAUAAUCAGCGGGGAAAGAAGACCCUUUUGAGCUUGACUCUAGUCCGACUUUGUGAAAUGACUUACGAGGUAUAGCCUAAGUGGGAGCUCACGCGAACCUGUAAAACCACUACUCGUUUUGCCAUUUUACUUAUUCCGUGAAAUAGUGACCACUUUCCGGUGGUUCUAGUAUUAAGGUUAGGCGCAAGCUCGACUGAACUAAGCGGAAGACAUGGUCAGGUGGGGAGUUUGGCUGGGGCGGCACAUCUGUUAAACUAUAACGCAGGUGUCCUACGGUGAGCUCAGAGAGAACAGAAAUCUCUCGUAGACCAAAAGGGGAAAAGCUCACUUGAUUUUGAUUUUCAGUAUGGAAUACAAACUGUGAAAAGCUAUGGC
rnacentral:rRNA from 1 species